UUGAGGUCCAUCAACCUAGUGAGGCCAAGUUUAGAAGACCAUAGUUCUGGGAGCUUCCUUAGUGGAGAAGCUUAUGGAUCAGAUGUGAAUUAUCAGCUACUUCUCCAGUGCUACACCUGCCUGCCUGCCUGAUGCUAGGCUUCCUGCCGUGAUGUUCAUGGACUAACUCUCUGAACUGCUGAAGAAGAGAGCCUGCUGCAUGGCAUUGUCCUGAAGACUCAGAGUCCAUACACCAAGUGCUUAACUUGGUGUAGAGAUUAUGACCCAGAAAGAACAAGCUGUGGAAGGCACAUUUUCUCAGGAUCUCCUACAGAAGGAGGUGCAGGCGGAGAAGAGGAGAGCCAUCUUCAAUCAACCAGUGAUAGCCCCAGGCCAGUGUGGGCUGGGGAGGAUGGAGGUGCCAGACUAGAGCCUGAAAAGGGAACAAGGGCUCCCAAGAGGAGAAAGUAGGAGCCAGUGUGUUACAGUCCAGAGAGGAGCUUGCAUGCAAAUACCAUCAGGAGAUAAACUGCACUGUGGGAAGCGGGCGGAGGUGCCAGAAGGACCUUCGCUAGUGCAGCUGGAGGUAGCUCUUAUUCUGCCUGAGGGGGUCUUAAGUAGACCAAUGGCUGCAGUAUGUGACCAAGGUUCGCAUCCAGUUUUCUUCUGUGCUCCACAGACAGUCCAGUGCCCACGCUCCUCCUGUUCCAAGCAUCACAUCCUCUAGAGCAAGACAAGACCUUAAAGGUCAUCUAGUGCCACUCUUCUUCAUUGGCUGAGAAAUAAAGAGCCACAGAAGUGCUGAGAAGGACCCUAUCCUGCUGGCACUUAUCUCCAAAAUCCUGAGUUCCAGCAGGGAGAGGCAGGAGAGACCAUCCUGGUGGCCCUUGUCACUUGUCUUGGUAUUCAGCCUCCUGAGGGACCUUUUGCAUUCUGUUUCCUCUCAUCGGU